rnacentral:rRNA from 1 species
UACGAAGGUUGCGAGCGUUGUUCGGAAUCACUGGGCUUAAAGAGCACGUAGGCGGCCCAUCAAGUGCCUUGUGAAAUCCCACGGCUCAACCGUGGAAUUGCUUGGCAUACUGUUCGGGCUUGAGGCAGGUAGGGGCACGUGGAACUCUUGGUGGAGCGGUGGAAUGCGUAGAUAUCAAGAGGAACGCCGGAGGCGAAAGCGAUGUGCUGGGCCUGUCCUGACGCUGAGGUGCGAAAGCCAGGGGA